UUGAGCCAAGAGCUUCGGUGAGCAAAUCCAUUUUUUGGCAAAAAAAAUGUCAAAAUCUUUUUUAAUUAACACCUUGACCAAAAUGAAGACACUUUUAAGAAGAAAACAGCGUAAAAAAAAUGUUGGAUUCCAGAACUUUUUUGAUGAGUAAAAAACAUCUUAGCUCUCAGUAUGGCUUAAAUUUGCGUUAAACCCGCAUAAAAUUUUUACAAGCUUUGUGUAACCCAGCAGGAAAUCUGUAAUUUUUCAUUAGAAGCAGCGUGCGUUUACUGCUGUUGCAAGUAAAUAGUUGUAGUAUUUGCUACGAGAGUUCCAAAACGCAAAUAUAACCUUCUACAACUUUUCCUUGCAUAGUUUAAGGCAUAUACACCACAAUAGUAUAUUGAUAAAAAGCAAGGCGGAAUUUUGAAAUAUAAUGAAAUUAUUUUCACACAGGCUUUUCAUGGUCAAACGUUAUUUUUGCUCCCACGCUGUGAAAAAUUUGCAUAAAGUAGUACAAAUGAAAACAGUGCAAGACUUUUUCGGGCCUAAUUCGGUACUCGUUAUUCAACAUAAGGCGCUGUUCACAGAACUCAUGACAUACAUAUAUAGCUAAUUUCUUAACUACUACACCUAAAACUAUGACGUACUCAGUAGGUCAAAACAAAAAAUAUGACAGUUGGCAUCAUGAGAGCAAUUCAAGUCAAGUUUUUGCGGCAUAGUUUUAGGCGCAGUAGCUAAGACAAUAGUCAAGCCUUAAGUUUUGUCGUUUUCAUGGGAAUAGAGUUGAUUGUCUCCACCUGAGACGCAUAAAAUUCUCAGUAAAAAGGGCGCGUAUUUUUAGAGA